GAUGAACGCUAGCGGCAGGCCUAACACAUGCAAGUCGAGGGGCAGCACAGAAACAGCAAUGUUUUGGUGGCGACCGGCGGACGGGUGCGUAACGCGUAUGCAACCUACCUUUAACAGGGGGAUAACGGAGAGAAAUUUCCACUAAUACCCCAGAACAUCGAUCAAGGCAUCUUGAUUGGUUGAAAACUCCGGUGGUUAAAGAUGGGCAUGCGUUGUAUUAGGUAGUUGGUGAGGUAAUGGCUCACCAAGCCUACGAUACAUAGGGGGACUGAGAGGUUAGCCCCCCACACUGGUACUGAGACACGGACCAGACUCCUACGGGAGGCAGUAGUGAGGAAUAUUGGUCAAUGGGGGCAACCCUGAACCAGCCAUGCCGCGUGCAGGAAGACGGCUCUAUGAGUUGUAAACUGCUUUUAAACAGGGAUUAAGCACAGUAUGUAUACUGUGUUGAAGGUACUGUAAGAAUAAGGAUCGGCUAACUCCGUGCCAGCCGCCGCAGUAA
rnacentral:rRNA from 1 species